GCAUUGGUGGUUCAGUGGUAGAAUUCUUGCUUCCUAUGCGGGAGACCCAGGUUCGAUUCUUGGCCAAUACA
rnacentral:tRNA from 1 species